rnacentral:rRNA from 1 species
GAGUUUGAUCUUGGCUCAGGAUGAACGCUGGCGGCGUGCCUAAUACAUGCAAGUCGAGCGAACUGAUUAGAAGCUUGCUUCUAUGACGUUUAGCGGCGGACGGGUGAGUAACACGUGGGCAACCUGCCUGUAAGACUGGGGAUAAACUUCGGGAAACCGAAGCUAAUACCGGAUAGGAUCUUCUCCUUCAUGGGAGAUGAUUAGAAAGAUGGUUUCGGCUAUCACUUACAGAUGGGCCCGCGGUGCAUUAGCUAGUUGGUGAGGUAACGGCUCACCAAGGCAACGAUGCAUAGCCGACCUGAGAGGGUGAUCGGCCACACUGGGACU